GCGUGUGACCUCAUCGCGUAGAGGCCGCCCGGAAGGGCUCCAGGACAUCAGGAAAAUCUCAUCCAUCGAACAUUCUGGAUGCUUAUCUUUGUAAUAUAUGUAAAUACACCUGUUUUUGUACAGCCUAAUGAACAUUAUUUCUGUAACAUUGAACUGACACGAAAUGCAAGAACUGGGUGGGCUACUCCAAAGUUUUUAAUAUCUGUGGAAGCUACUCAUAGUAUAAAGCGUGCUAAUAAAACAGUCACUGUAAUGAUUUAUACUGUUCAGGAUGAAUGUCAGUGUGACCUAAUUUGGAUCAUGGAAACUGAAAAUAUUGUAGGCAAAGUCACAGGUACAAAACCGAUUUCUUGUAAUAUAGAAAGUAGUGAAACUGGUCCAUUUGGGACAAGUCGUAUUACUCUGGAAUAGCUGUACUUGGAAUAUUACCCUAUCAGCACAGCAGUGCUUUGGGGGGCCAGUUACUUCUAGUUAUUAUCAAUGGUGUAUGUGUCUAAUCUCCAAUACUGAACCUUUCAUAAGAGAGGGGUUGUCCCUAUUCAAAUUGUCUAUUCGUGCUCAGUUUCAUCAAUCAUCAAUGUACAUUAAGCUACAUACCUCUGUAUAGUCUUUUGGAGUUAUUGUGGAUUGUAUUAGCAACCCUUCCCAAGUUUGUAGUUCCUCUGGUGUUAAAAACAGUUUUUGUUUAGUGAAGAGCCAGGAGUGAUAUUCAUGCUUGAGCGUACUGGUGUGCUUGAAACCAACAUAACAAUUAAGAAUUCUGGAAUCUGGUCCCUGGCGGGUCCUUUUGGGUUACUUUAAACCAUUGAGGUAACUAUAGUACCACCUCCAUAUAGUAAUCAUGCGGGACCUCUGGUCAUCAAUCAGAAUCUUAAACGAGUGGUCAGAUCUAACCCAAUAUACUCCAUUAAAAGAGUGGUUGUGGAUGUGCAAUCUCUAAUUUCUGGCAUCAUGUCUAACUGCACCCCAUUUGUGGUGCCAUCUGUCUCAGGCUGGGAAUCUUGGCUCCUAAGUGUUAACCCAAGAUACAACAGGGUAAAAAGGGUCCUUACUGCCCAGAUUCUGGGAGGUGCAGGUGCAGGUUUAGGUGUUGUAAGCACCCUUGGAGUAGGGUCUUUAACAACAAAAAUGGGGACAUUGGGUCAUAAGAGAGCAUCUCUCAAUCAACCAUUAACAUCUGCCCUUGAUACAGUGAUAGAUUUGUCAUAUAAUAUCACUGAUGCAAUUAAGUCAUGGUAUCCUAAACAAUUGGAAGACUGGCAUCAUGUGGGGAACGCAUUUGAGGUAUUAGAAAGCUCUUCUGCCUGGUCGGAUGCGUGUGUUGAAGCACAACUAUGGCUACAGUCAAUUGCGAGCAACAUGGUAAGGUCUGGGCUCCAAGGAAUUCUCCCAAGAUGAUGGAGAGUGCCUCGCCUUUUGAGAAACAGUAUUCUGCCAGGUGGGAACUUACUGAUUUUUAUUUUCUUCCCGGUACUCGGCAAAUAACUGCUAAAGUCCUGACUAUAACUAAUGCCACCGUCCUCUGGGUGUACCCUUUAGUUACCCUGGGAAUAAUAACUCCAGAUUUGGUUAUAUUACCUACUGAUACUCCUAAAUGGGUAACCCCGUAGAUAUAAAGAAUUAUGCCAUAGAUGUAAGUUCUUGUCUAUGGAGGCAGUCAAUAGGAUACGAUUGCCUGGCUGAAGUAGCACCAGGUAUACACAUUUGUUUAAGCCCGAAAGAAGGCAGAUGUCACUAUGAGUUGCAUCCACAACCGAGGGGUUGUUCACAGGUGGUAGUUGUCAAUGAUCAUUGCGAAUGUAUAAGAAGUAUAUGUAAAUAUUUUGUUGUUAAUUAUUAUUAUAAUGUAUCAAAUCUUGUGCAACCUAA